UUUUUUUUUUUUUUUUUGUCCACUGAGGGGUGGGGGAAGUUGAGGGCAUCAGAUAUUUGAGAAGGUGGAGAAAAUAUAAAAGAGUCGAUACAAAUAAUCAAAACUAGUAGCUAGAAUGAAUACUAGCUAGGCAGAGCUGAGGGUCCAGUUAAGAUAGGUGGCCAUGAAUUCAAAUCUACAUCUAUCUGCUCAGCUGUGUGAUUUUCUUCAGCAGCAUUAAAGCUCUUGUUUGUUUGAUGGUUGUGGAUUUGGUAAAAUGCUGAUCUUUCCCCUAUAUUGAGAGAAAUGUGAGUAAUCACAAAGAGGCCUGAUAAUAAUUAUGAGUAAUUUAUCAAGGCCCUUCCAGGGUUCCUCUGCAUAGGGUGGUUUUGGAUGGCUAGACAUUUACAUAGCACAUAGUGGCUUUCUUUUGUUUCCCAUCUUCCUGGUGAAUUGAGCCACAAUUUCUUCUCCUAAGCAUAAAUACCUGCAGACCUUAGUUACAGUCAUCCCUGUGAACAAGGGUGAGGGUGGAAAGGGUAAGGAAUGUCUGUGUUUCCUAUCACCAGGUAAAUGGGAUCUUGAUGCUUGGCAUGGGGUCCCAAGAGCUUGCCAAUACCCAUGUGUAUUAUCAAAAAAUGAGAUAAUGCCGCCGUCAAAUAAAAGAUCAGGGCCGGGUGUAGUGGCUCAUACCUUUGUAUUUUAAUCACAUACAGGAUACAUACUCGUACUCAGAAUGUGAGUUCAAGGAUCAGUGGCACAAAUAGGGGAAAUGACCUCAAGUUCCAAAUGAGUGUUAAUGUAGUUCUAUUAAAGCGUCUGAGUGCGGAGAAAUCAUUUCUUGAAUUUUGCAGGGCAAGCAUGACUGCUUUGACUCCUUUUCGUGUGCCUCACAGCGUGCUUAUAAGCCAUGUCUCCAGGGACAUACACUCAUUGUAAAGUGCCCCUAAUGAUAAUAAAGUGAAGGAUCUGCUGCAACUCAAAGGAAAUUGAAAGUGCUUUAAGUUCUACAUUCCAAAGUCAGAGCUAGAGAGGCAGGCUGGAUUUUCUGCUGAUGUGGAUUGCCUGCUGUUGGUUUGGGCCACGCUAGGUAUGAGAUAAUGUUUUAGAUUACUGCUGGGUUCUUCUGGGCCUGGCAACAUAAAGAACACGUCUAAUCAAUGCAUCAGCUGCUAUGGCUCAUUCACCUUCCUGCAGUGUUGUGUGGCCACAGCCUGUAAGAAUGUGACCCGGAAAUCCCCAAGUAGGGCCCUCGGGUGUGCCCGAGUCCCUCAUGCCCACCCAUCCACCCCUCUGCAUUCUAACAUUUCAGUGGUUGUGUUCAGGCAAAGUGUCUUCUGCUCAUGCUCAGGAGGAAGAGUUCACUUGACCUCCCUGUGGCUCAUUGCCCCGAGGAUACCAGGGCUCUCUCAGCCUGGCUGCGUGACAACAGAGGGACACCAUUAUCAGAGAAACCACGGCUGAUGAGCAGCUCUAGGCCAGAGACGCCAAAUGCUACCUGGACAUGAAGAGAGAGGUCCCAGCAGACCCCCGGGGGACAGGUUUAAAUUAGGUUCCAGCCUCCCCUUCCUGGUGUCAGGAGUUACUCAUCUUGAUUUACUUAUCUUGCAAAGGAGCCAAGGUAUCCUGCUGUAGCUGCCUACUAUCUUCUGUCUCUUCCACAACUCCCAUGUCUCUUUUGGGUUUCUGCUCCACUUCUCAUGGGCUACUUGGAGUAGGAAGUAGGUUUCAAUAAUAAAAAAACUAAAUAAAACAAAAACAUCAUCUGAUUUGCCUCCAGCUCUGCCACAGACUAUUUGACCCUGGAAAAAUCCCUUCCCUUUUCUGACACUCCUCUGUAAAAUAGCCUGGAUCAGUAGCUUUCAUAUUGCAUUCUGUGAAGCUGCCAGGAGCCUGAAG
rnacentral:lncRNA from 1 species